rnacentral:sRNA from 1 species
UCUGCACCCACUUGUUCCUGUCAUUGUGACUCUGUGUAACCCUCGAUGUUCUUCCACUCUGUGCUCUGCACUUGUGUAGUCUCUAAUGAUUCUUCUGCAUAGUCCUUAACAUUCUUCCGCCUCAUGCUCUGUGCUUGUGUAGUUUCUAAUGAUUCUUCUGCGUAGCUCUUAACAUUCUUCCACUCCGCGCUCCACUGUGGGGCAGCUUCUGAUAUUCUUCCACUCUGAUCUCCCUUCUAUAAGAACCCCCUUCGUACGACCUUUCCUUCUGAUCUCUUUUCUCUUUCUUUCCUUAAUCAAUUUGUAAUCUGUAUUUAGGAUAGU